rnacentral:rRNA from 1 species
AGCGAACGUUAGCGGCAGGCCUAACACAUGCAAGUCGCACGAGAAUCCGGCUUCGGCCGGUAGUAAAGUGGCGGACGGGUGAGUAACACGUGGAUAAUCUGCCCUUCGGCGGGGGACGAACAGUCCGAAAGGAUUGCUAAUACCGCGUAAGUCGGCGAGGUCUUCGGAUCUUGUCGGGGAAAGAUGGCCUCUUCAUGAAAGCUAUCGCCGAAGGAUGAGUCCGCGUCCCAUCAGCUAGUUGGCGGGGUAAUGGCCCACCAAGGCUUAGACGGGUAGCUGGUCUGAGAGGAUGAUCAGCCACACUGGAACUGAGACACGGUCCAGACUCCUACGGGAGGCAGCAGUGGGGAAUAUUGGGCAAUGGGCGCAAGCCUGACCCAGCCAUGCCGCGUGAGUGAUGAAGGCCUUCGGUCGUAAG